UACGUAGGGAGCAAGCGUUGUCCGGAAUCAUUGGGCGUAAAGCGCGCGUAGGUGGCCUCGUAAGUCCGCUGUGAAAGUCAAAGGCUCAACCUUUGAAAGCCGGUGGAUACUGCGGGGCUAGAGUACGGAAGAGGCGAGUGGAAUUCCUGGUGUAGCGGUGAAAUGCGCAGAUAUCAGGAAGAACACCCGUGGCGAAGGCGGCUCUCUGGGACGGUACUGACGCUGAGACGCGAAAGCGUGGGGAGCGAACAGG
rnacentral:rRNA from 1 species